rnacentral:RNase_P_RNA from 1 species
AAGGAUGCGCGGGCAGCCGCCGGUCGAUUGUUAUCGGCGGGAGGAAAGUCCGGACACUAAGAGCGUAAUGACUGAUAACAUCAGUUCGCAGUAAUGCGGGGAAAGCGUUACAGAAAAUAACCGCCGUUCAUACGGUAAGGGUGAAAAGGCGGGGUAAGAGCCCACCGCCGUUUUCGGUAACGAAAACGGGCAGAACAAGCCCCAUUAAGUGCAAGGCGAAUAGGAAGAAACGGGUUGCUCGCCCAUAUUUUCUUCGGGUUAGCUGCUUGAGAUUACGGGCGACCGUAAUCCUAGAUAAAUGGCUGCCUCUCUUUAUGAGAACAGAAUCCGGCUUAUAGCGCGUCCUUGAUU